UGAAUUCAAAUUUGUAUGGACUUGGAACGUUUGCCUACGUUUGCCGCUAGAGGCCCUAUUCCAACUUUAUACAAACUUGAGUUA
rnacentral:pre_miRNA from 1 species